UUUACUGAAUCUGGCAAUCCUAACCAGGUGUGAUCCCAGAAAGACGCCACUGAUAUGGGGCUUUGGUGCUGGAUCACUCACCAUCCUUCCUUCAGUGAGGACCCCAGGUUGGUAAUAGAUAAAGCACAAAUAGCAACUGGGACAAGGAAUUGGUCUAAUAGCUCAAACUUUCAUUGGUGAUCAACUGGCAUGGUAUAGUGGUAGAAAGGAAGGCAUUAGCUGAUGUGAUGUGUCAGAUGUUUGAGAUUUGGGAGAAAUAGGGACUGAAAGGAUAGAAUCAGGUGGCUACUGCUAAGCUUGAUUGGCCCACUGAAAACAGAUAAAAAGCUGAGCAUGACUAAUCACCAACGGAAAGCUGAGUGAGAAAGCUAAGGGCCUCCUAACCCGCUCCUUACACCUCCAGCUUACAAAGAAGCUCUUGUCUACUGCAGAAGGGGAGAAAAAUCUUAGGAUCGGACCCUGGACUUGAAGAUCAGAGCUGCCAACCUCCAAAGAAGGUUAAACUCCCAACAAAAGAAGACCUGCUAUGCCAAGAGCCUUUUUAAAAACUAAUUUUUUGGAAGGAGGUGGAGCAAGACGGUGAAAGAAGCCUCCAGCAAUCAUCCCCCCCACAGGAACAUCAAAUCUAACUACUAUCUACACAAAAAAGCACCUUAGGAAGCCUAAAAAUCAGUGCUGCCCUGUCACAGUGGAAAGCAACACCAGGCAGAAAUCAACUGACCCCAUAGAGAGAACAUUUAGAUGAGCCCUAGCCAGAGGGGAGUCAUGCCUUCCGGCGGCCAGAAAUUGAGCUCCGCAAGUCUCGCUGCUGCAGGCUAAGGUGACUUGGAUUCCAACUAACCUUGAGAAGCAAGUCUAGGCCACAAGGACUACAACUCCUAGGUGACUGCCUCCCUUUCAUCAUGAAGGGCCAUUCAAAUUUUCUGCCCAUGCCUCCAGGGACUCCCCUAUGGCUGCUGCAGCUGAUAAAGAUGCAUCCAAGAAAACUUCCAAGGAAUGGUCAAUGUGUGGCACAGCUAACUCAGUGAAGGCCAAACUGCUGAAGAAUCUAUUUGUCUUAACUAGCUGAAUUCACCAAUCUGUUUCCCAAAAACUUGUUUUGUGAAAUAUUUUCCUGUAAUAUCUUCAGUGAAUAAAAGAUCUUAUUCUUAUAA